rnacentral:rRNA from 1 species
UACGUAGGGGGCAAGCGUUGUCCGGAAUCAUUGGGCGUAAAGAGCGUGUAGGCGGCCUGGUAAGUCCGCUGUGAAAGUCCAGGGCUCAACCCUGGAAUGCCGGUGGAAACUGUCAGGCUCGAGUCCGGAAGAGGCGAGUGGAAUUCCUGGUGUAGCGGUGAAAUGCGCAGAUAUCAGGAGGAACACCAAUGGCGAAGGCAGCUCGCUGGGACGGUACUGGCGCUGAGACGCGAAAGCGUGGGGAGCAAACAGG